UACGAAGGGUGCAAACGUUGCUCGGAAUUAUUGGGCGUAAAGCGCACGUAGGCGGCUCUGAAAGUUGGAUGUGAAAGCCCCCGGCUCAACUGGGGAGGGUCACGCGAUACUGAUCGACUGGAAGGCAGGAGAGGGUAGUGGAAUUCCCGGUGUAGUGGUGAAAUGCGUAGAUAUCGGGAGGAACACCAGUGGCGAAGGCGGCAUUCUGGACCGACAUUGACGCUGAGGAGCGAAAGCCAGGGGAGCAAACGGG
rnacentral:rRNA from 1 species